GUCCCUAUCGUCUAGCGGCUCAGGACGCCGUUUCCCCCUCCCCGAUGCGCAGGCGGAGGAUGGGAGUCUCAUAACGGAAACUGGGGUUCGAAUCCCUAUAGGGACGCCA
rnacentral:tRNA from 1 species